rnacentral:rRNA from 1 species
UCCGUUUGAUCCCGGCGGAGGCUACUGCUAUUGGGAUUCGAUUAAGCCAUGCGAGUUGAAUGAAUUUAGAUUCAUGGCGUACGGCUCAGUAACACGUGGAUAACUUACCCUUAGGACUGGGAUAACUCUGGGAAACUGGGGAUAAUACCGGAUAUUAGGCUAUGGCUGGAAUGCUUUGCCUUUGAAAUGUUUCUUGUAUUCGCCUAAGGAUAGAUCUGCGGCUGAUUAGGUCGUUGGUGGGGUAAUGGCCCACCAAGCCUAUGAUCGGUACGGGUUGUGAGAGCAAGAGCCCGGAGAUGGAACCUGAGACAAGGUUCCAGACCCUACGGGGUGCAGCAGGCGCGAAACCUCCGCAAUGUACGAAAGUGCGACGGGGGGAUCCCAAGUGUUAUUCUUAAUAGGAUAACUUUUCAUUAGUGUAAAAAGCUUUUAGAAUAAGAGCUGGGCAAGACCGGUGCCAGCCGCCGCGGGUACACCGGCAGCUCAAGUGGUAGCUGUUUUUAUUGGGCCUAAAGCGUUCGUAGCCGGUUUGAUAAGUCUUGGNUGAAAGCUAUGGCUUNAACUGUAGAAUUGCUGAAGAACUGUCAGACUUGAGUCGGGAGAGGUAGAAGUACUACCGGGGUAGGGUGAAAUCUUAUAUCCUGGGAGACCACUGUGCGGAGCGUCUACUGAACGAUCUUGACGUGAGUACAAAGCAGGGCCCGAACGAAUUAAACCCGGGAGCCUGGCGUAACAAGGAACUGGGUUGAAUGCUUCAGUUUCCAGGCAAGGACUUUAUUCCCCCCGGAAAUCGUCCAACUAACUUAAGAUGGGGGGACCCAACCGGGCCCGGUUUUGGUUCCCGGAUCCCGGCCAGUUUAAACGGUAGACCUUCUUG